rnacentral:misc_RNA from 1 species
AAGGUCGUAACAAGGUUUCCGUAGGUGAACCUGCGGAAGGAUCAUUAAAUGAGAAAAUGGGCUUCGGUCCUGACCUCCAACCUUUGUUUACCUUACCACUGUUGCCUCGGCGGGUCGUCGACCCCUUUUGAUCGGGGACGCCGCCGUCGGCCUUCAAAACGCUUUCGAGUUGCCCAGCCGCCAGGCCCAAAGUCUAAAAUUUGCUUUGUAAAUCCCGAGUCUUUCUGAGAGUAAAGUUUAAUUACUUCAAAAG